rnacentral:rRNA from 1 species
GUAGUCAUAUGCUUGUCUCAAAGAUUAAGCCAUGCAUGUCUAAGUAUAAGCAACUUGUACAGUGAAACUGCGAAUGGCUCAUUAAAUCAGUUAUCGUUUAUUUGAUAAUCCCUUACUACAUGGAUACCUGUGGUAAUUCUAGAGCUAACACAUGCUUCAAGGAGUGGCUUUCGUUACUCUGCACUUAUUAGAUAAAAAACCAAUGCCCCUUUGGGGCUUCCUGGUGAUUCAUAAUAAUUUAGCGGACCGCAUUCCCUCGAGGAGGCGGUGGAUCAUUCAAAUUUCUGCCCUAUCAACUUUCGAUGGUAGGAUAGUGGCCUACCAUGGUUUCAACGGGUAACGGGGAAU